UAACACGAGGGAAGGAUACUGUUAAUUAGUUAUUAAUUACUCAUGAUGCCAUAGGCAUGCACACACAUGGGGGGUUACAAUGCAUGGUUAGUUCUCAUGUGAUCUAUGGUGCUCUUUAUGUGGGAGUCUGCAUUUAUGUAUUCUCUUCUUCAGUGCCUGGUCAGCUCAGCUGGCUGAAACAUGAUGCUGAUGGGGCCACGGUUGCAUGUUUGAUCCUUAUUGUAAUGGAUUUAGGGGUUGCUCGUGCGUAAGUUGCCGCCACUCCUGGCGAGGUUACCUGGUUAAACCCUUUCUGACUGAACAGCCUCCAGCAUCGUGACUGUCUCAGUCGCUGGCAGAAUCCGUCAGUGGGCGUUUCUUGAACUUCUUCCAGCACAAAAGUUCUUUGACGCCAAGUCUCCUCCUACUCUCGCUGCGCGGAAGUCUUCUGCGCAGGGAGGGUGUGGGCAGCGGAGUACCCGUACUCUCUCCGCUGGUCUCCGGCGAGGAGUCUUGGAGCCUCCUCUCCGAUUCCCCCAUCUGCCCCCCUUCUCUACUGGUGUUACGCUGAUUUCCUUCCCCAGCGGACGGGCUGCCUCUCUCCCUACUGGGACCCUCUCUGCCAUCCCUCUGGAGCCUUCCCUCCGCUUCCAGCUCCGAUGGCAGUUCCCUGACACUUAUGGUGGGGUAGCGGAAUAUUUCUGCAUUGCAGGGGGUUGGACUAGAUGAUCCUUGGGGUCCCUUCCAACUCUACAGUUCUACCUGCACAAUUUAUAUCUGAAUUGUUUCACAGUCAUCUCGUCUGUGCUGCGCCAGCAUGGAAUCUUUAGCUGCUGCCAUUGACUAUGCUUGUCGGCCUGGGUAUGGUGUGCCCCUUUAAAGAAUUCCCCUCCCACCUGGGAGGUUUCCGUUGGCUUCUAAGAAUGUGCACACACUCAGAUGGUAACGGUUUCUGUUUUAUAUUCACAGCUUUCCCUAAGUGCAGGCUUAUAUUCUUCGGCUCUGUGGCUCUUCCGUCUAAUUCUUUGCUAUAUCACUUCCUAAUUUUUUCAGUCCUUUUCCUUAUUAAGAUAAUAUUAAUAUUGUACUAGUAGUGAUGUAUGGAAGUGAGAGCUGGACCAUAAAGAAGGCUGAUCGCCGAAGAAUUGAUGCUUUUGAAUUAUGGUGCUGGAGGAGACUCUUGAGAGUCCCAUGGACUGCAAGAAGACCAAACCUAUCCAUUCUUAAGGAAAUCAGCCCUGAGUGCUCACUGGAAGGACAGAUCCAUUCUUAAGGAAAUCAGCCCUGAGUGCUCACUGGAAGGACAGAUCCUGAAGCUGAGGCUCCAAUACUUUGGCCACUUCAUGAGAAGAGAAGACUCCCUGGAAAAGACCCUGAUGUUGGGAAAGAUGGAGGGCACAAGGAGAAGGGGACGACAGAGGAUGAGAUGGUUGGACAGUGUUCUUGAAGCUACCAGCAUGAGUUUGACCAAACUGCGGGAGGCAGUGUAAGACAGGAGUGCCUGGCGUGCUCUGGUCCAUGGGGUCAUGAAGAGUCGGGCACAACUAAACGACUAAACAACAACAAAAUAUUGUACUAGUAACAGUAACAACAUUAUUAGCACUAUCAUGCUGCCUGCUAGCAGAACCGAACAACAAGGGGUAACUUCUCCACCUCACACGCGUAAGGGGCGCUCCUAGUCGAGCCGUGCAGGUCACUAAAAAGAUUAAGAAGAGGGUGCUCUCUUCGGGGAGGAAGCGUGCCACCACAAAGCGUGUUUCUACUGGAGGCAAGAAGGCAACAUUGGUUGGCUCUCCGACCGCAUCUGGGAGCCUUGCAACCACCUUCAAGCGGUCAGUUAUCUCCUCCAGACGUCAGGUGAGUCCUUCCCCCCUUCCUCCCCUGAUUAUUCCUCUUCUAACUGUAAUAAAAAAAAUAAGGUCUUAUAUAUAUAAUAAAUGUUCAUAGGUGUACCAGCCAAGCACGUAGAUGGAUGUGGGGACCACAUCUCUGGAGCAGCACAGGAACACCGACCUGAAACCAUUUUGACUCCCAAACUGAUCAAAUGUUUUCUCUUAAAGGAGGGAGGGCAUGAGGGAAUUGUCUCAGGAAUUGGGUAAUCACCAUUUCAAAGGAAUGGCCAGACUACCAGGAAAGGCAAUCAGAUAAGGCAUUAUCAGAUAACCUGGCAGACAGGAAAAACAACAACAUUCAAAUUUCUGUUGUAGACCACCUUUUCUGUGAUGUAGGUAUGACGUUUACACCCCUUCUGUGAUGCAUGUAUGAUGUAUGGAGGGGUGAUCUUGAGCUCCAGGGCAGGGAAUUUAAAAUGUCUAUAUAAGGGCAGGCACACCUUUGUCCUGGGUCCUCCUCCGUCCUUCUGUGUGUGAGGGGAGCACCCUGUUGCAACAGUUUUAUAAAGAUCAGGCUUACUAGCUGCUUUACUUCUCAAUAUUCUCUGGUUGGCCUUUGUUAUUUUCUCCUACCAAUAGGGAACCUACUUAAAGACUCUACACAGGCUCUUGCAUACCCCAUAAGGGAAAAAGGGCAAUUUUGUUUACAACAUAACAAACAUUCCUCUUCUUGGUCACUAGGGAAGGGACAACAGGGACAGAACUAUUGCCCGUUUAAGGCAGUGCUUGGAGCAGGCUGAGGUGCGCAUAGCAAAAUCUCGUUCUUCUCAUCGCCGUUUUUGGAUGGUUUGGCGCAGAGGUAGGUCUCCCGCCACUAGUUUUUCUGACAGUUCCUUGUGCCCUGAAUCUCAUAGGUCACAGCGCAGGAAGAAGAGAUCCCGCCGGACCAGGAAACGCAGACGUGAGUCCAGGAGAGAUUCUUUGGAUUCAUCAGAGACCCCAGUAUGUCUGAUUAUUCUGAUAGUGAUUUAGAAGAUCAGAUUAAGCGGUAUUGGGUUAACCAGAGGUUCGAUAGCCGUCUGAGGACCCCAGUCCUGCCACUAACCACCUGGCCUAGGGCAGGGCCUGAUGGACGCUAUAAAGGACUGCUGCCGCUGCUGCUGCUGCUGGACAGAGAGGGC
rnacentral:lncRNA from 1 species